rnacentral:rRNA from 1 species
AUGAGCUGGAGCACGAGUGUUAAACUAUGUGCAUGCAAUGAUGCAAGCGCAACCGAAGCUCAAGCUCUGUGUCUAUAUAAACAGCCAGGCCAGCCGGGUGUUAGAGCAUCAAAUCAAAUUGAUCCGAGAGAUCGUCGUCAUCGCAUGAUGAGUGAUGCUGUAGUGACAAAGUCGCCGGCGGUGGUCGUCGGCCCGUCGGAGCCGGGGACGCCAACCGGCAUCAUCAGCCUCUCCUCCUUCGACAAGGUUCACAUUCCUAUCCCGAUGGCGCUCCUCCUCAUCUUCGACGAGCCGAUCGACGACCCCGCCGAGACCAUCAAGAAGGCCCUGUCGCGGGCGCUGGUGCCGUACCACCCUAUGGCCGGCCGGCUCGUUGCCGGAGCCGACGACGACGCGUACCUCAGCAUCGCGUGCACCGGCGAGGGCGUGCCUUUCGUGGCCGCCUCGGCUAGCUGUGCCCUGGAGGAAGCCAUGACGGCGCUGUCGCCGGGGCUUCUCAGGGAGCUCACCGUUCGUUACCCUGGCGAGCUCUGUCGCCUCAGCGACGCCUUGGUGCUGAUGCAGGUGACGGAGUUCACCUGCGGCGGGUUUGUCGUCGGGGUGACAUGGAACCACGUCAUGGCCGACGGCGCCGGGAUCGCGCAGUUCCUGCAGGCCGUCGGCGAGCUGGCCCGCGGGAUGGGGGCGCCGUCCGUCGUCCCCGUCAGGUCGGGCGCCACGAUCCCGCCCAUCCCGACGCCCGUGGUUGCCGCGCUGAGGUCCCAGAUGCAGGUCCUGACAGAGGAGCUGGCGAGCCUGGACGUCAUGAUCCCCUCCAGCCUGAUCAGCCGCGUCAAGGCCGAGUGCAGUGGCGGCAGCACGACGUUCGAGGUCGUGGCCGCGGCGCUCUGGCGGAGCCGCACCCGCGCGAUCUUCUCCGGCUCCGGCAACGGUGACCUCGACGCUCCCGCGAUGCUCUGCUUCCCAAAGAACGUGCGCGAGAAAGUCGGCGCCGAGCACGGCUACUACGGCAACUGCUUGAGCAGCCAGCUGGUCCUGGCGACGAACGGCACGGUGGCGAGCAGCGAGAUCAAGGACCUGGUGAAGCUCAUAAAGGGCCAUGCGGACAUACUGGAUCUGCUAAAGAAUGGUGGCGCCGCCUCGGGGGUGGAUUUGGGCAGGCUCAUGUCGUCCCCGAGGUACCACACGAUCGCCGUCUCAAGCUGGCGGAACCUUGGGAUGGAAGCGACGGACUUCGGGGGUGGGAAGCCGGCGAGGGCGAUGUGGCAGCCGGAGAACUCGGCGGGGUUCUUGUGCGUGGUGUGCCCGCCAUGCAAGGGGAAGGACGGCGUCAACGUCCUGUCCCGCUGCGUCACGCCGGAGCACGCCGAGGCAUUCCUACGGGAGCUGGCCGCGCUCGACAUGUAA